rnacentral:rRNA from 1 species
GGAUGAUGUGGAUUAAUUCGAUGCAACGCGAAAAACCUUACCUACCCUUGACAUGUCCGGAAUCCCGAAGAGAUUUGGGAGUGCUCGCAAGAGAACCGGAACACAGGUGCUGCAUGGCUGUCGUCAGCUCGUGUCGUGAGAUGUUGGGUUAAGUCCCGCAACGAGCGCAACCCUUGUCAUUAGUUGCCAUCAUUUGGUUGGGCACUCUAAUGAGACUGCCGGUGACAAACCGGAGGAAGGUGGGGAUGACGUCAAGUCCUCAUGGCCCUUAUGGGUAGGGCUUCACACGUCAUACAAUGGUCGGUACAGAGGGUUGCCAACCCGCGAGGGGGAGCUAAUCCCACAAAGCCGAUCGUAGUCCGGAUCGCAGUCUGCAACUCGACUGCGUGAAGUCGGAAUCGCUAGUAAUCGUGGAUCAGCAUGUCACGGUGAAUACGUUCCCGGGUCUU